CGUCAAAUAUAUUUACAUCAUUACAUUCAAACCCAAAUUCAGCUUCGUUUGGCCAUUCACCUACUUCGUCUUUAACGCAGUCCAUUUUCAAGAAAAACUAACAGGUUUCAGAAGGCAACACCAAUUUUAUAUCAACUGACGUUUUAGAAGGCAACACCAAUUUUAUAUCAACUAGCAGCCAUGUUUAUAGUGUUAUUGCAUCAGUGGGAAG